rnacentral:rRNA from 1 species
UAAAGAUUUUAAGGGCGUACGGCGGAUGCCUUGGCGAUAUCAGCCGAAGAAGGACGCGGUAAGCUGCGAUAAGCUACGGAGAGGUGCAAGCAACCUUUGACCCGUAGAUUUCCGAAUGGGGGAACCCGGCAGUGGUUAUGCACUGUCACCCAUACCUUUGAGUAUGAGGAGGGCACCUGGGGAACUGAAACAUCUAAUUACCCAGAGGAAGAGUAAUCAAACGAGAUUUUCUUAGUAGCGGCGAGCGAACGGGAAAGAGGCCAAACCGGAGCGGGCAACCGCACCGGGGUUGAGGACAGUCAUCAAGUGUAAAUGAGGUAGAAGAAUCGAGUUGGAAAGCUCAGCCGAAGAAGGUGAAAGCCCUGUAAUCGAAACCUUGCAUACAUGGGACUGUAUCCAGAGUACCACGAGACACGUGAAACCUUGUGGGAAGCAGGGGGGACCACCCUCCAAGCCAAAAUACUGAUAUCGACCGAUAGCGCAUAGUACCGUGAGGGAAAGGUGAAAAGAACCCCUGGCGGGGAGUGAAAGAGAACCUGAAACCGUAUGUCUACAAACAGUCGAAGUCUGUAUAUAUAUCAGGACGACGGCGUGCCUAUUGAAGAAUGAACCGACGAGUUACUGUUGCUAGCGAGGUUAAGUGGAAAACAUGGAGCCGCAGCGAAAGCGAGUCUGAACAGGGCGUUCAGUUAGUGAUAGUAGACCCGAAACCGUAGUGAUCUAUCCAUGGCCAGGUUGAAGCACAGGUAAAAUUGUGUGGAGGACCGAACUCGUGAGCGUUGAAAAGCUUUGGGAUGAGUUGUGGAUAGGGGUGAAAUGCCAAUCGAACACGGAGAUAGCUGGUUCUCCCCGAAAUAGCUUUAGGGCUAGCCUCGAGGUUGAGAGUAUAGGCGGUAGAGCACUGAUCGGGCUAGGGGCCAUACCGGUUACCGAACCUAGUCAAACUACGAAUGGCUAUACUUAUACUCGGGAGUCAGACAGUGAAUGAUAAGGUCCAUUGUCAAGAGGGAAACAGCCCAGAACACCGACUAAGGUCCCCAAUGUCAUACUAAGUGGCGAAGGAUGUGGAAUUUCCAAAACAACCAGGAUGUUGGCUUAGAAGCAGCCACCAUUUAAAGAGUGCGUAAUAGCUCACUGGUCGAGAGACUCUGCGCCGAAAAUGUCCGGGGCUAAAGUGUAAAACCGAAGUCGUGUCAUAUGCAGCAAUGUAUAUGGGUAGGGGAGCGUUCUCAUCGGGCUGAAGCAGUACCGUAAGGAGUUGUGGACUGAUGAGAAGUGAGAAUGUCGGUAUGAGUAGCGAAAAGAAUGGUGAGAAUCCAUUCCACCGAAAGCCUAAGGGUUCCUGAGCAACGAUCGUCGUCUCAGGGUAAGUCGGGACCUAAGCCGAGGCGGAAAAGCGUAGGCGAUGGACAACAGGUUGAAAUUCCUGUACCGGUGUGAAUCGUUUGAUCGAAGGAGUGACACAGUAAGGUAGGUCAGCACGCGAUUGGAAGUGCGUGUUUAAGCAUGUAGGUUGAGUUAUAGGCAAAUCCGUAACUCUAAAAGCUGAGAUGUGAUGACGAGCUGUUUACAGCGAAGUGAUUGAUCCUACACUGUCGAGAAAAGCUUCUAGGUAGAGACACAUCGCCCGUACCAAAACCGACACAGGUAGGCGGGGAGAGAAUCCUAAGGUGCGCGGGAAAACCCUCGUUAAGGAACUCGGCAAAAUGCCUCCGUAACUUCGGGAAAAGGAGGACUCAUGUAGUGUGAAGUGCAGCAACGCAUGGAGCAUGAAUGAGUGGCACAAGAGAGGCGCAAGCGACUGUUUACCACAAACACAGGUGCCUGCUAAAGCGAAAGCUGAUGUAUAGGUGCUGACACCUGCCCGGUGCUGGAAGGUUAAGAGGAGGGGUUAGACUUCGGUCGAAGCUCUGAAUUGAAGCCCCAGUAAACGGCGGCCGUAACUAUAACGGUCCUAAGGUAGCGAAAUUCCUUGUCGGGUAAGUUCCGACCCGCACGAAAGG